CCACCACACCUGGCUAAUGUCUUUUGUUUGUGUAUUUUUUGUAGAGAUGGGGGUUUUGUCAUGUUGCCUAAACUCCUGGGUUCAAGCAAUCCACCGACCUCAGCCUCCCAAAGUGCUGGGAUUACAGGAGUGAGCCAUCGCACCUGGCCAAUUUUUUCCUUUUACUGUGUCUGUGGUUCCACAACUUCCUUUUUUCCUGUUCUCUAUGGACUUUCUACCUCAUUUGGACUCUGCUUAGAUUGGCCUAGUUCUCUUUAAUCAAAUCUUCAGGAACCAAUUCAUUACCAUUAAAAAUGAUCUAACAAGCUUUAUUUUUUAUCAUUGUUAAAAAUCCUCGUUUUGAGUAACACAACCA
rnacentral:lncRNA from 10 species